AGAGACCGGCGCACGGGUGCGUAACGCGUAUGCAAUCUACCUUUCACAGAGGGAUAGCCCAGAGAAAUUUGGAUUAAUACCUCAUAGUAUAGUACCUUGGCAUCAAGGAAUUAUUAAAGUCACAACGGUGAAAGAUGAGCAUGCGUCCCAUUAGCUAGUUGGUAAGGUAACGGCUUACCAAGGCGACGAUGGGUAGGGGUCCUGAGAGGGAGAUCCCCCACACUGGUACUGAGACACGGACCAGACUCCUACGGGAGGCAGCAGUGAGGAAUAUUGGACAAUGGGCGCAAGCCUGAUCCAGCCAUGCCGCGUGCAGGAUGACGGUCCUAUGGAUUGUAAACUGCUUUUAUACGAGAAGAAACACCUCUACGUGUAGAGACUUGACGGUAUCGUAAGAAUAAGGAUCGGCUAACUCCGUGCCAGCAGCCGCGGUAAUACGGAGGAUCCAAGCGUUAUCCGGAAUCAUUGGGUUUAAAGGGUCCGUAGGCGGUCAGAUAAGUCAGUGGUGAAAGCCCAUCGCUCAACGGUGGA
rnacentral:rRNA from 1 species